CGACUGCUUCGGAGCCCAACCCGGACCGAACUCCCGUCCUGUGGGCUGUGACGAACUGAAGAAUCUGGUCGGUCUGUGGGCGAGAUGAAGGCGACGAAGGUCGUUCUCGAACGAAUGGUGAAACCGAUCUGGGCAAGAGGAGCGACGGCGGUCUUUGGCUGAAGACGAAGCCGGAAAUCGAUCUGAGCAAGAGGAGAGCGACGGUGACCUUUGGCUGAGAACAAAGCCGGAAUCGAUCCUGGCGCUUGGAGCUUCAGAGGUCUGAUGACGACCCUGGCGUGGCGGCGGAGCUUCGGAGGUGUUCUUCACGUGGCGACCGUGCUCGGAAUUGGAGGUGCGGUCGAUGUCGACGGCGAUGGAGUGAGGAAGAUAACACCGGCGUGAGGGGUGAUGUCGCCGGCGGUCGUUGACUCCAACUCCGCCCAAUCCCCGUCACUAUCCUCGUUCUCGACCACAAACCUCCAUCCACGGGUCACCGACGUCGGACCUCCUCGAUGAGAGAUGCCGGCCUCG
rnacentral:lncRNA from 1 species